UUCUUUGCGCAGAGGCAGUGUCGCACCAAAUGAGGCCUGGCCGAGGGGCGACUAUUGCUAGUUGAAAAAAACUUAUAAAUUGUUACAGCACGAAUAUUCGAAGCAACGCAUAAUCCUUACAAAUACCGGCCUAUGACUCUUACUAAUGCGCCUUGCAAAACAUUGGAAGAUGUAAUUUUUCCCACCAUACAU
rnacentral:snRNA from 1 species